AUUGAACGCUGGCGGCAUGCCUUACACAUGCAAGUCGAACGGUAACAGGUCUUCGGAUGCUGACGAGUGGCGAACGGGUGAGUAAUACAUCGGAACGUGCCUAGUAGUGGGGGAUAACUACUCGAAAGAGUGGCUAAUACCGCAUGAGAUCUACGGAUGAAAGCAGGGGAUCGCAAGACCUUGUGCUACUAGAGCGGCAGAUGGCAGAUUAGGUAGUUGGUGGGAUAAAAGCUUACCAAGCCGACGAUCUGUAGCUGGUCUGAGAGGACGAUCAGCCACACUGGGACUGAGACACGCCCCAGACUCCUACGGGAGGCAGCAGUGGGGAAUUUUGGACAAUGGGCGCAAGCCUGAUCCAGCAAUGCCGCGUGCAGGAUGAAGGCCUUCGGGUUGUAAACUGCUUUUGUACGGAACGAAAAGCCCUGGGUUAAUACCCUGGGGUCAUGACGGUACCGUAAGAAUAAGCACCGGCUAACUACGUGCCAGCCGCCGCCGUAA
rnacentral:rRNA from 1 species